UCCACCUGUGCACUCCACAGCUGAAACAUGUUUACUUUUCAGCAAGGAGUUACUCUCUUGUUGUGCCAUAUUUGUCCAUACAAGAAGCAUUUUUGCUGAGGUCUACAAAAACAAUACAAUUGAAACCGGAGAGUAUGCAUGGGUAGCUGUGUGAUUGUUAAGGUGUAAACCUGUCCUUUCUCGAGGAAUUAUAUUAGUAAAUUGGGACCUUAAAACCUGGAAUCUGUUUACCUGCAGGCCUUCUAAUCCUUCAAUGCAGGCUUGCUGCAAAUAAUUAAUUGAAAAUUAGGCAAAUCAAUGGCGAUGAAAAUGGUUGUAUCAACGUACUGCAGCGGAGAGCACUGGAAGGGAAGCACGCCCUUUAAUUCUGCUGACCACAAAGGCGCAGACAGCUCGGGUUCAGCAGGGACUGGGUUGAAAUUUCGGUCAGGUUACGAGCUAAGGGGUUGCCUCCAGCUGCUGCUUGACUGGGGCGAGACCGUUGGUGUGGAGGAGCUCCGAAACACAGCGGGUGUGAC